UGAGGAAUAUUGGUCAAUGGGCGAGAGCCUGAACCAGCCAAGUAGCGUGCAGGAUGACGGCCCUAUGGGUUGUAAACUGCUUUUAUAAGGGAAUAAAAGUUAGUCUCGUGAGACUUUUUGCAUGUACCUUAUGAAUAAGGACCGGCUAAUUCCGUGCCAGCAGCCGCGGUAAUACGGAAGGUCCGGCGUUAUCCGGAUUUAUUGGGUUUAAAGGGAGCGUAGGCCGGAGAUUAAGCGUGUUGUGAAAUGUAGGGGCUCAACCUCUGCACUGCAGCGCGAACUGGCUUGCUUGAGUACGCACAACGUGGGCGGAAUUCGUGGUGUAGCGGUGAAAUGCUUAGAUAUCACGAAGAACUCCGAUUGCGAAGGCAGCUCACUGGAGCG
rnacentral:rRNA from 1 species